rnacentral:rRNA from 1 species
GACGAACGCUGGCGGCGUGCUUAACACAUGCAAGUCGAACGAUGAAGAAGAGAAACGCGAACUUCGGUUCAAAUUUCACUUCGGAUUAGUGGCAGACGGUUGAGUAACGCGUGAGCAACCUACCUCUUACAAAGGGAUAGCCUCGGGAAACCGUGAUUAAUACCAUAUGACACAUUCAUAAGGCAUCUUAAGAAUGUUAAAGCUACGGCGGUAAGAGAUGGGCUCGCGUCCCAUUAGCUAGUUGGUGAGGUAACGGCCCACCAAGGCGACGAUGGGUAACCGGCCUGAGAGGGAGAACGGUCACAUUGGAACUGAGACACGGUCCGAACUCCUACGGGAGGCAGCAGUGGGGAAUAUUGCACAAUGGAGGGAACUCUGAUGGAGCGACGCCGCGUGAGCGAUGAAGGAAUUCGUGUCGUAAAGCUCGGUUCUAUGGGAAGAUAAGGACGGUACCAUAGGAGAAAGCCCCGGCUAAAUACGUG